rnacentral:rRNA from 1 species
UGGGGAAUAUUGGGCAAUGGGCGAAAGCCUGACCCAGCGACGCCGCGUGGGUGAUGAAGGCCUUCGGGUUGUAAAGCCCUUUCGUGCGGAAAGAACAGCCCUGAAACGAAUAAUUUCAGGGUUUGACGGUACCGCAGGAAGAAGCACCGGCUAACUCCGUGCCAGCAGCCGCGGUAAUACGGAGGGUGCAAGCGUUGUUCGGAAUUAUUGGGCGUAAAGGGCGCGUAGGCGGUUGUGAUAGUCAGAUGUGAAAUCCUUUGGCUUAACCGAAGAACUGCAUCUGAAACUUCAUAACUCGAGUACAGGAGAGGGAAACGGAAUUCCCGGUGUAGAGGUGAAAUUCGUAGAUAUCGGGAGGAACACCAGUGGCGAAGGCGGUUUCCUGGCCUGAUACUGACGCUGAGGCGCGAAAGCGUGGGGAGCAAACAG